UACGUAGGGGGCUAGCGUUGUCCGGAAUCAUUGGGCGUAAAGAGCGUGUAGGCGGCCCGGUAAGUCCGCUGUAAAAGUCAAAGGCUCAACCUUUGAAUGUCAGUGGAUACUGCCGGGCUAGAGUCCGGAAGAGGCGAGUGGAACUCCUGGUGUAGCGGUGGAAUGCGCAGAUAUCUGGAGGAACACCGGUGGCGAAGGCGGCGUUCUGGACUGCAACUGACACUGAGGAACGAAAGCCAGGGGAGCAAACGGG
rnacentral:rRNA from 1 species